AGAAGUUGAUUGGAUCAACAUAAAGAUUUGGAGGGGAGAAGCAUAUCAGGACUGCUCUGUAGGCAGCUCCACUGGGCACAUUUCUUCCAGAAAUGUCUAUGUUCUACUGCUAUGGGAUGUUUAGAGGGAAAGAAGACUGGGAUGGUGGCCCGGAAUUCUCUGGUAUUCUCUAGUAUUUAAGGCUUACUGUGAUGAUAGUGGACAAAAAAAAAAAAAAGGAUUUAGGAUGUUUAGAAGAUGCCUUAGCUUUACUCUCAGUUUCCCUGAAAAUGAAGGUAGUGAUUAUACUCUGAUAUAAUUCUAGGAGGCACCCUCUGAUUUUUGGUAUGUUUAGGUAUAUAUGAGUUUUUUGCUGGGUCAUAGGAGAUAGUUCCUAAUUGUUUGUGCCUUAUCAGUCAAGUUACUCUCUGUUCAGGGAUGCAGUGUUAUGUGCCCUCCUAAAGAAAAGUUUCAUGUAUUCAGCACUGUCAAAUCCAGUGUGGGCUCCCGUGUGUAUAUUUCGGAGUGUGUAGGGUGUGGGAAUGUAGGGCCACUGCCCUUCUGGAGUGCACAGGUAACAGGUUGGUGGACUUGUAUCUGGGCACUAUGGGUGGUGGGCAGUAGUGGUGUCUGUGUGAUGCUUUUAUGAAAAC
rnacentral:lncRNA from 1 species